GAAGUAUAUAACAGAAAUCUAAUUGAUUUAGUAUGUAUAAAAAUAUUUAUAAAAUUUAUGAAUUUAAUAUUUUCUAUUAAAUAUGAAGUUACAAUAUUAAUAUUUAUGUGCUAAAACUGUCCUAAGAAUUGGCCAUUAUUCUUUUAUUUCAUUGUUAUUUGGAUGAGACUAGCAGGACUAUUGUCUAAUAUAGGACAUGUUUAAUCUUCAUUCCCAUCACAGGCAGAUUUGCUAUGGGGACAUGGGACCAGACCAAGGGUACAAGACUCUAAAAACUUGAAAUCCUGUAAGAGGUGCUCUUGGGACUGACUUCAUAAGGCUUUAAUUAUGCUCUGGUGAGUUGGGAUAUUCUGUCUUCUCUGUUGCUGAGGAUGUUAUUAUCUGUUUGAAGGGUUAUUAAUUUUGUGAUACAGAAGACAACUGUUGGAAAAAAGAAAUGGUUGUCUUUUAAUCAUUUAAUAUUACAUUUUAUUAUAAUACUAAAAACUCCAAAGUAAUUCAAUGAUAC
rnacentral:lncRNA from 1 species